UAAAAAUAGCAUUAUUUUUUAAGCAAAAAUGUAUUUUUUUUUUGUCCAUGUAAUGUUAGUGAAUUUGAGUGUUGGUUGGUUCGAAAACAAAAUUCUUUCAAUUUGCCUCUGUAAUUUUAGAUUGCUUUCGUUUUAGUCAUCAAUGUGAUCAUGUCACACAAAAAUGUAGACAUGGGCAGAAUAUGUUGACUAGACCACUGCCACAUGUUUAGCAGGCACAACCUCAGCAAUUAACCAUUAAUGACUAGCAUUCUUGUCACCCCUCUACCCUUCGGUCACAAAUGAUAGACGACUCUAUCGCGGCGAAAGCAACGAAAAUAUUAUGUAAAUCGUGUGUAUAGUAUUUGUGUACAAGGGCUUCCAUUAUAUCUCUCACUUGCAUGUUAAUGCUAACCAUGGUUUGUUGUGGGUUAUUAAAGCUCCGCCAAAAGCUAAAAAAACUACUUUAGCAGAUUUGUCGAAAAUGUGUUUCGACUCGGGUCCGGUUGCUGGAAAAAGAGUAGGUUAUUCGUAAGGUUGUGGUUUGUUUAAUGUAGAGGAUAAUAAACAUGUGUUUUUCAAGUGUCCAAGUAGUCAAAGUAUUUGGAAUAUGUCUUAGGUUUUUUCUAGGCCGUUUUGAAUAUUAGUAAGAAAUCUAAAUUUUUUUUAUUUUUAAUUUUGGAUAUCCGAAAACUUAGUUUAUAUGUUCCAUAAAUUUAUUCAUUUCUAGAAAACUUUUUAGCUAUCUCAAAUAUUUUAUGGGGAUGAAGUGAAUAAAAGGUUAAAAUGAGGUCUAGUGUUCAAUUUCUAGCAAGAUGAAANNNNNNNNNNNNNNNNNNNNNNNNNNNNNNNNNNNNNNNNNNNNNNNNNNNNNNNNNNNNNNNNNNNNNNNNNNNNNNNNNNNNNNNNNNNNNNNNNNNNNNNNNNNNNNNNNNNNNNNNNNNNNNNNNNNNNNNNNNNNNNNNNNNNNNNNNNNNNNNNNNNNNNNNNNNNNNNNNNNNNNNNNNNNNNNNNNNNNNNNNNNNNNNNNNNNNNNNNNNNNNNNNNNNNNNNNNNNNNNNNNNNNNNNNNNNNNNNNNNNNNNNNNNNNNNNNNNNNNNNNNNNNNNNNNNNNNNNNNNNNNNNNNNNNNNNNNNNNNNNNNNNNNNNNNNNNNNNNNNNNNNNNNNNNNNNNNNNNNNNNNNNNNNNNNNNNNNNNNNNNNNNNNNNNNNNCCUUCCCGGAUAUGAAUCAUAUCCGAGGUAACAGAACUAGCAAGAAUUAAUAGACACCGGUGAUGUAAUCCAAGAAGAUAACACCUCAAUUUUUAUUAAAAGUAAUCAAAUUGAAUUAUGCUCAAACUAUAUCAAUUGAAGGAUGUAUGUACACCCUCUCAUUCUUGAGCCACGACCAUGUAUAUAUAUUAUAUAUAUCAUCCCAUGCCAAACUUUUUUUCUCAAUUAAAAUCAUGAAUCCUAUUAAGUAGGAAUAAAUGGGUAAGAUAGUAACAGAAAACGUGUGCAUUGACCAAGUAAUUAUAGCCACAUUUAACAAAUCAUUAUUAAUAAUAAUAAUGAUAAUUAUAUAAUAUUAAAAUAAUUUUAAAAUAAAUUAUUAAGAUCAAAAUAUCCAACAAUCCCCCACAAUUUAUUUUAAAUUAUAAAAGAAUACUCAAAAAUCAUUUCCUGGAUUAACAUCAUUGAUGUAAUGCAUCAAACUGGUGUAGCAAGCUAUAUGAACCAGUUCUAGACUGAUAAUACUUAACACACAGUAACAUUGGUGUAGCAAGCUAUAUGAACCAAUGAAACUUAGUGUAUGUUAGCGGUCUACCAAUCGCAUUACACCCCACAGUUCUUGCUGUUGCCGCUGUGUUGCGCGAAUAGGCCGUGCGCGUGCCUGAAUUCUUUCAUGAGUGCUCUAGAGAUUUCACCAAGAUCUCAUGCAAGCGGCCCCACUUGACACUCAAAUAGGUGAUUUCAUCAAGUGUAUGCUGCAAAUCAUACACCACCCAUAAGGGCUAUGAAAAUCAUUAAAAGCUUUGUUAGCUUAUCCUCUCAGUAAUGUAGUAUCUAGCACUUUCUCACUCACACCAUAGGAAAAGGACCAAGACAAAAAUUAAUUAACUAAUUUUUGUGUGCUAGCAGAUCUAACAAGUAACUUGUUCUUACCCAUAUGAACCUUAUUCAUGGGAUCUCCAAUCACAAAGGUUGGGUUCCUAUCACUUGUUGAUUUCAAAUGGCUUAAGUCCAAUUCCCCUCGAUGUGUCACAAAAUUAUUUCUUCCCAGGGGCUUUGUUUAGUAGCUACUUUAUACACAAUUGAUGAAGACAGUUUUAUUUCACCAAUAUAAUAUUGACUAAGACGUCUCUAAGUCAAUUAAUCUCAUAAGUUUAUCCAAGUCUAUAAUAACUUGUUCUCCGCGAUAAAACUUUACAUAUUUGCUUAGUUAACUAAGCGACAACAUUCUCACUUAGAACAAUUAAAUUCACUUAUUAAUUUAUUCUCAUCGGCUCUUAUCCGAUUAACAUCAUUGUAUUAUUUCAAUACAAUGGCUCAUACACUAUAAAUAAUAUAUCUCAUAUUGUCGAAUCGACAUUUAUAAUAUAAUUCAUCAGGUCUACUUAGAUAAAUUCUAAGCGACAACAUCUCCAUAAAAGGGGAAAUUAAAUCUACGAUUAGAUUUAUAAAUCAGGUCUACUUGAAAGCUAGUUUUCAAGCGACAACACCCCCACAUUUGAUAACAUAGGUGAAUUUUAUUCAAGUCUACUUGAAUUAUUUCAAGUGACAGUGCCCCCUCAAUAAGGACAAUUUAUAAUUGUGCACAUUAUAUUGUGAUAUAUUUUCUCAUAAAUUAAUUUCACUAAACAUCAUUGUAUUAUAUACAAUGGAUAAUCCACAAUUUCUCUAAACAUCAUUGUAUUAUUUUAAUACAAUGGAUAAUCCACAAUAUACUAUAUUAUAGUUUAUGGUAUCUCAAAAAUAUUUCAUUUACAGGUCUACUUAUAAUAUUAUAUUUUUAAGUGACAACAUUUUUAUCACAUAUGUAUUUCUAUACAUUUCUCAGUGUCUCCCCAAUUUGCUUCAUUACUGCUCUACAAAUUUACAUGCUUCAGUGGCAACAAAUAUUACUCAUCACACUUGAAUAACGAAUAUAAACAAUGAACCACAUCAAGUGCCAUAAAAUAAUUGGUCUAAUACAGUUAUACCAUAAAAAUUAACUUCACAGCAGAGAAACAAAUAUGCAAAGUGUAUGCCACUGUAUUUUCGUUUUUAUAUGUCCAGGUUAUUCAAAUAAGCCAAUAUCUCAAACCUCAUGAAAAAUUAUAUGUUUAAAUCACUUAGAGCAAUAUGACAAACACUUACACAAGAAACUAAGAAUCUCAUAAUUAAAUUCUUUAGUAGUAGUCAUCUAGUUUUUUUUUUUUUUCAUACUGAUUAUUGAUCACAAGCAAAACUAUACAUAUAAUAAACCUUUGUUUUGUUUUUCCACUAGAAGAAAAAGAGUAUUAUGGACUUGCACAAAGUCCAAUUAGGAAUUGAAUACGUAAUUUCAAAACUAUCUUAUCAUUCAUUCUCAUGGAUGUUGAGUAAGAUAUAAAAAUUAUUCACAGAAAUUUAUAUAGACAGAUCACCGAUAUAAGUUUCACAAUAAAAUUGAACAAGCAUAGUUAAGAAGACUUACUUGAAUUUUUAUAUCACGUUUUUGCAACAUUCAUAUCUAAGGGAUUCAACUAACCGUAUACCAUCAUUUCGUGGAUUGGAAAUUCCAGCUAUCUACCUAAUUCUUUAUCACCCACUCUACUUGGAUAUUCAAUAUGUAAUUCUUCCCUCGCCGCAAAAUUGGGGUUUUAUAAUCCGAGCAUAAUAUAAGAGACUAAAUCCUUAAGAUUGUUGUAAAAAUUGGACCUACUCACAAUAAUAAACAACAUAUAAAUUUAACCAAUGGAAUAUACAUGAAUCAGAAUAAAAUAAAAUAGAGUUCACAAGAACUUAUCUUAUGAUCGUUGUAAUUGAUGUCGGCACUACCGUGUAGUAAUUUGAUGUAAACACCCGGAUAGUAAACAACGAAUUAGACCUGCAAAAUAUACAAUACCUGAGGCGUGCUGAUCGCACUGUCCUUAAGGAUUUAUCCGCCUCAUAAGCGCAAAUUCCCCAGGAUUCAACAGGUCCUUCCCGGAUAUGAAUGAUAUCCGAGGUGACAGAACUAGCAAGAAUUAAUAGACACCGGUAAUGUAAUCCAAGAAGAUAACACCUCAAUUUUUAUUAAAAGUAAUCAAAUUGAAUUAUGCUCAAACUAUAUCAAUUGAAGGAUGUAUGUACACCCUCUCAUUCUUGAGCCACGGCCUUGUAUAUAUAUUAUAUAUAUCAUCCCAUACCAAACUUUUUUUCUCAAUUAAAAUCAUGAAUCCUAUUAAGUAGGAAUAAAUGGGUAAGAUAGUAACAGAAAACGUGUGCAUUGACCAAGUAAUUAUAGCCACAUUUAACAAAUCAUUAUUAAUAAUAAUAAUGAUAAUUAUAUAAUAUUAAAAUAAUUUUAAAACAAAUUAUUAAGAUCAAAAUAUCCAACAAAACAUGUGUUUUUCAAGUUCCAAGUAGUCAAAGUAUUUGGAAUAUGUCUUGGGUUUUUUCCAGGCUGUUUUGAAUAUUAGUAAGAAAUCUAAAUUUUAGCAAGCUAGUAUUUUGAUUUUUAAUUUUGGAUAUCCGAAAACUUAGUUUAUAUGUUCCAUAAAUUUAUUCGAUUCUAGAAAACUUUUUAGCUAUCUCAAAAAUUUUACGAGGAUGAAGUGAAUAAAAGGUUAAAAUGAGGUUUAAGGUUCAGUUCCUGGCAAGAUAAAAGCUAACAUAUCAAUGUAAAUAUACUAACAACUAAGUAUUAACAAUUUGUCAUUCAAAAAAAUAAAAUGUUAAAAUGAAAAAAAAAUGAAAAAAAAGAAACAAAAAAAGUUUGUAGGGGUGUGAAAGUUCACCGAAUUUGGGCCUUUUAGAUUAAAUAAAGCCCAUUACGAGCUUAGGGUUUCUUAUCUUCGCUAUAAAUUGCUGCAACCAUGUCUCUCUCAUUUUCAGCUGCCAUCAACAACUAGGGUUACGACAGCACCGUUCAAGAUGAGAGCCAAGGUGAAUUAUUCAUCCUCUAUACUCGUUUUAUACAUACAUCAAUUAUAAUCACUUACUCUGAUUUUAUCGUAAUUCUAUGUUCUAAUUUGAACCAUUUUUGUUUUUUGGUUUUUCAGUGGAAGAAGAAGCGUAUGAGGAGGUUGAAGAGGAAGCGCCGAAAGAUGAGACAGAGAUCUAAGUAGACAGUUAUUCUCACCGAUCGUAGUUUGUUUCUUCGUAUGUUUUUGUUGUUAAAUGCGAUCUUUCGCAUAAUUGUCUUGAAUAUUUUCUUAAUGUUAUGAUACAUUAAUGGUUUUAUAUCUUAAUCGAAUUAGCUUUGGUUUAAACAAUUGCUUAAUUUCUGUAUGAAUUAUUAAAUUUCGUUAUUUCCGUUUAUAAUUAUCUCCUGGAAACUGUAGUGAUGUCAUUAUAGUUUUACAUUUCAUUCUUUAGUUUCAUUUUGAGGCUCUUCAAUUAUAAUUUAUAGCUGUUCUUUUUAGAUAGUAGGAUUAUAUUAGGCUCCGUUUGCCAAUGCCAAAUUUUUUGCUUGGGGUUUAUAGCUUAUGAGUUCAUUUUAAAAAAGAAAAACAAAAUCAGUUUUGUAACCUUUUUCUCAUGAAAUUGUAGUUUAUUUUUAAUCUUAUAUCUUAUUUCUAAUCUUAUAUCUUAUUUCAAUAAGCGAAUUCAAUUAGCUCAUAGCUUAAAGCUUAUGCCUUAUUAUGUUUUCUACCAACUGUACUCUUGUUAUCUUACCUGAAAACAAUUCAACAUAUCUUUUUCCUGUUAUUACACAUCUAUAAGUUAGUUGUUAAUUCUGUGAAACAUAUUCAAUCAGCUAGAUUAUCCUCCAUAAGUUAUAAGUUAACUUAUAGCUGUAAGCUAUUAGCUCAUAUGAAAUAAGCUGGUUUAUCAUUAGCUAUUAGCUCACAUUCAAUCAGCUAGGUUAUCCUCCAUAAGUUAUAAGUAAACUUAUAGCCGUAAGCUAUUAGCUCAUAUGAAAUAAGCUGGUUUAUCAUUAGCUAUUAGCUCACAUUCAAUCAGCUAGGUUAUCCUCCAUAAGUUAUAAGUUAACUUAUAGCCAUAAGCUAUUAGCUCAUAUGCCAUAACCUGGUUUAUCAUCAGCUAUCUGCUAAUUUUAGCCAGACAGAACCUAGGCAGUUUUAUAUAUCAAUAAUCAAUGCCAAUAAAAUUAGAGAUUAUAGCUUAACAGAAUUUGAUUCAAAUGUCAGGAUUUCUCCAUUUAGGUCAAUUUUUUGUUAAAUAGCUCUUAAAGCUGCAUCAUAGCAAAAUUUGAGUGAAAGCAACUGCUUAGUUGGUGUUUUACUGAAUGAAUCAAAUUGUUUUUGUAAACUGCAGUUGUGUGAAUACAGGGAUAUUACAAUGUGUGUGGUUGAUUCAUUGUUAUUUUCAUUAUGUUGUGUUUGUACUUUAUAUUUUCUUCUUCCUCUUAAGAUAUUUGAGCUGAAAUUUCCCUGUGUUUUACUACUACUGGGUUAUUUGAUGGGAAUGAAGCAUUACAUCCAAACAUGUCUAUUACCUUAGUACAGUGUAUGUGUUUGGAUUAGCGUUUUCUUGCCCAGACUCAUGUUUGAGUGCCUCUGCACCGUGAAAAACUAUGUUUAUUAUGAUCGAUGAUUGAUACGAAUUUAAAAAUGCAAACAAUUUAGGUUAUAGUUUGGAUGUACUGUGUACGAAAAUGUCUCUAGUUAUGUUUUUAUGGGGAAAAUGUUUUUAACACGAUGGAUGAAUCGUUGAUGUUCUUAAUCUCAAUAGAAUAUUCACUUUUGUCGUUGUACAUUCACCAAUUAUAGAUGUUGAUUCUAGAUAAAAGGUAUUUUUUUCUUACACAAAAUAAAAGGAUAAUUUAAAUACAAUUUUUUGGUCACUUACUUUAUUAUGUAUGCUUCAAUUUGUUAGUAAUUUAUUUUCGAAAUUAAACAAUUAUAGCUCAAUUUUGUUGAUUUGUCAUGUCGAGUAACAGACGUACAUUUAAAUUUGAUACGGUUAGUGAAUGUUUAUGUUUUCAGCAGUCCUUAGAAUUAGAUGUUAUAUAACUUAUAUUCCCAGAUGUAACGAGCUAGGAAUUUAUUAAAAAAGAAGGGAUUUUUUUUUACCGAUACACACAAAUCUCUUUCAAAUUUUGGGUUGAUCUUAAUUUUAUUCCUAUAAAAUUACUUGGAAUGUGAGAAUUGUUCUUAUAAUUAUUUUUUUAGUUUUCAAUGGAGCUUGGAAUUGAACUUAGGACAUUUAGCAUCAUAAAACAUUUUAUUACUAGACCAAAUUUAAUGGUUUUGUUCUUGUAAAUUUAUGUUCUAGCCAUUUUAUAUCCGAGUGAGAUUAAUAACUAACACCUUUGACUGGUAUUUAGAGCCUCUCUUGUUUGAAGCACCUGGAAAUGGAUUCCCUCCCGUGGCUAAGAUUUCACUGGACCUCUUCUGUUACUCGAGAGGAUCCAGCCUCGAAGCACCUGCAAAGCUGCCUUAUGAAAAUUUUAUAAUUUUACAAGUUUAUGGUACUGCAAGUGAUUCAAGUUCCUCCAAUUGUGAUACUUAUUUAGGAUGCUUAUCUUUUUGUUUUAUCAAUUUUGCCAUGUCACAUCUAUUGAGUAAUAUUCUUAUUUUACUCUGUUGUUGCAACCAUUCUGAAUUAUCUUUAAUCUCAUUUUCACAAAGUUCCAGACAUUUAAUUUUUUAUUUUUUUUACAAUUCCAGACAUUUAAACUUAAUAACACCAACUUGUUUCUUAUUAGUAAGCUAAACGUGCUGGUAUAAGCAAUAGGAAUUAUCUAUAAACUUAAGCAAUCAUGAUUGUCACGCAGUCAUACUCCAAUAGUGAAAUCAAAUAAAACCAUUGCUCAGGCUUAAAAGCUAAUUUGCAGUUGUUCAAAGGCUAUAUUCUAAUUAUUAUGAUGAUUAUAUGAUAUUAACAAAUGCUUAAAUAUAAUGAGGAAUGUUAGUAUGAGUCACAUCACAUUGUGACUUAUUCAUAGUAUAUGUUUGAAAACUCGUCCAAUUUGCAAUUCUUGCGCAAUGAGGUAAUUUUCACCGUGAAUAAUAAAAGCUACAAAGUGUAGCUUCUUACCUAAUGUAUAUACAACAACCGAGAAUAAAAAUAUAGUUGAUAGUGAACCUCCACGCACUUUUUUAUUCAACGUUUGUUCAAUAAGCUACAAAGUGUAGCUUCUUAUCUAUCGCACUUAUGCAACUUUUUAUUCAAAGUUUGUUCAAUUACUCUUUUAUCCACAAAUGCAAUGAAAGCAUUUCGUUCGGCACUAAUGGUAUCCCCAACAUGCCAAAUCAAUUUUGGAACAAAAAUCCAAACAUGCCAUGAAAAAGAAAGAAACCACAUCAAAGGAUUGAAACCAUGCUUCGUAUAAUUGAAAACGUCAAACCAAACAUAUCAUUAGAUUUCAACGAAUCAAAGAUGAUCAUACCAAAUAACUAUUAACAAGAGAUUCUAAAUUAGAUUAAAUAACAAAAGUAACUUCAAAAACAUAUAAAACUAGAAAUUGUCAUGAUUAAACAAAAUUAAAAAAAAAAAACAUCAAAUUUUUUCACUUUCUUGAAUCAGGAGUUCCAAGUUGAAACCCAUCAAGGUUAUCAACAUAAUUCCUAACUUCUUCUGCUAUCAUACGCUGAAUAAUCGACCUCAAAUUAUCAUUUCCCAGUAACUUCAAAUUAUCAUCAAAAUCAAAAUCUCGUUCCUUUUCCUUUUUCUCUUUCUCUUCUUUGAUCAAUUUCUCACCAGGUGGAAACAAACUUAAUGACGUCAUAACAGUAACACCAUUACCCGCAUCUUCUUCUUCNNNNNNNNNNNNNNNNNNNNNNNUAUUAUUAUUAUUAUUAUUCUCAACACAUUGCCGUUUAUAACCGUAACCGAGAUCCAACAAACCGUUAUUAUAACCGUCAUACAUAUUCGACCCACGUUUUCCGAUAUUCACGGUGGAUGAAACCACCGGCAUUAUCGGAGUCACCGUCGCCGCCUCCGUACGACGACGGCGGAGAGUCGAAUUCCAGUGAUUUUUAAUCGCGUUAUCAGUUCUACCUGGUAAAAGACGCGAAAUCGUCGCCCAUUUGUUUCCAUGAACUGCGUGCGCUUGAAUUAUGAUGUUAUCUUCCGCCGGAGUAAAUGGACGGUGUUGAACGUCGGGACUCAGCUGAUUACACCACCGUAGACGGCAUGAUUUUCCAGAACGGCCAGGGAUUCCGUUGCUUAUGACAGACCAGUUUCUUGCGCCAUAUUCAUUUACCAAUUUCANNNNNNNNNNNNNNNNNNNNNNNNNNNNNNNNNNNNNNNNNNNNNNNNNCAUAUUCAUUUACCAAUUUCACCAAUGUUUCAUCUUCUUGUGGACUCCAUGAACCUUUCACUUUAUCGCCGUUUUCAUCGACACCACCACCGCCGCCAUGGGAAUUGGAAUUUGAGUUUGCGCUAAUCAUCGCGUCUUGAACCUGUUUGUGAAAAUGCCAAAGAGAAAAGAAAGAAAGAAAAUGUUGUUAUUGUUGUGAAAAUGUGUGAAUAAAAUGAUGAGUUAGUUUUUUAUUUUAUAAAGAAAUAAAAAACGAAUGAAUGAAUAAACAGAAAAACUGUAAAUGAAAAGUGUGAAUUGGAAUGAAGUAAUGAAACCUUAAUUAAGAUGAAACUGUUUUUUUUGUGUGUGUAACUACUUCCAACGUGUUUGUUUCUGUUCUUCAACUUCUUCUAUUCUUGUUGUAAAUCUUGAAACUUUAGUUAUUAUUAUUAUUUUCUGUUUUUAAUAUAAUAACUUUGGAGAUGAAAUGAAAAGAUAGAAGUUGGGUGUUUUUUCGUUUGGACUUAGGUAGGUAGAAGUUUAUGGGUGGGUUAGUUUUAAUUUAUAUAUUUAAUUAUAUUUUUGGUUUAGGGUUUUAUGAAAAAAUGGAUUUGGAAGGAGUGGGUGAUUAGAUUAAUCAAUAAUGGUGUGGAAGUUAUAACUUCCACAUACAUCUUUAUCUUAACUGACUCAAAUAACGUUUUUUUCCUAUAAACUCUAACUAAGAUGGAUGAUCAUUUUGACCAAAUUGGUUUCUUAAUUUUGUAAUUAAUAAUUAAUUAAUUAUAAUGAUUUUGAAGUUUGUUGGUGGCAGUUAGGAAGGAGUGAUCAUAUUUUCUAGAUGGGUAUGAAAAUAAUUUUCAUUUUUUUUUGUCAUGUAGUCUGAUGGCUAAAAUUUCAACUGAAGUGUCGGGUUUGAAUCUGAUUCGUUGAGUGUCCGGAGUUCAAACUUCUAUCAACUGAGCUAAGUUGAUAGGACUAAAAUGCGAUAUUUUUAUCAGUUGAGUUAAGUUUAUGAAAAAAUAAUUUGAUAUUUAUUAAUUAAGGUACUGUUUGGCCUAGCUUUUUUUCCUCUUCUUUUGAGCUUAUGCAAACAGCUUAUGCAAUUUUUACGUAUUAUUAUAAGUUUUUCAAGGUAGUUUAUGAUAAAAUAGCUUAUAAAAUUACAAUUUUUACUAGUGUGAACUUAUAAAAUAACAUAAAACUGAAUUUAUAUUGCAUAAGCUAUUUGCAUAAGCUCAAAAAAGUUAGGCCAAACACACCCUAAAUAUUUGAUUAUGAUUUAUGAUGAUGAUAAUCUUGAUGUAGCCAGAGAGGCUAACUAACUUAUGAGAGGAAGUUGUAACGGACGUCGGUUACUUAAUUGUGUGGUGAAAUUAUAGUUAGAAGGAAAUGGAUGAGUGAAUAAGGAAGGAGCAAAGAAAGGGGUUUCGUAACUGUAAGUUGUUAUUGCGGUUAGACAUGCAUAUAUACAUGCUACUUAUUCGAUAUUAUAGGAGUUUUUAAAUUUUAAAUAACUAGAUUUAUUCAAACUAGUAACACACCACUAUUUAUCCUAAUUCAAACUAGAUUUAUUAAAACUUAUCAUAAAUCUUACAGAGUUUUUUUUUUUGAAGCAAAAAUGUUGGUAGGAUUGUACCUUAAUUUAAACAUUUUAAUUGAUUAUAGUUAUAUUCAAAUUAAUCGCUAUAAUCUGUUCUCUACAUUGUUUUAGGCAAAAGAAAGAUAAGACUGGCCUAUAAAAGUAUAAUAAUUUUUUUAUGAAAAUAUAACUGAAAAAAAUUGUAAUAUUAAUGUUAACUUUACAAAGGUUUGCUGGGCAAAAUGAUGGAUGAUCAUUUUGGUUAACCUAUAAACCAGCAAGCCUAGCCUAGGCAGUUGUUCGGGUUCUGGCCAAAAAAAAAAAAUUGUGUUUAGGGGUUAGUUUAGGACAAAACUAAGAUAUUAGUAGCUUAUGCAAACCUGUGAUUUUUAAGGGUUAGUUUACGGUAAAAUUGAAUUUUUUUGUUAAACUAUAUAUACUAUGUCACAUGUGAAAUUUCGGUGACUCUAUAAUUUUCUAGCUCCGCCAUUGGGUCUGGUCAAAUAAAACAUCUCAAUUGGUCAGUACUUAGUCUAGAUUGUUUUGCACAAAAAAAACAUUAGACGAGAGUGAAUUGUCUCGUUGUCGUUUCAAAAAGGAUUUGGAUCAUCUCUCACAAAACUCCUCUACUACAUAUAAUUGGAAAUGAUUUAAACCCUAAUUUACCCUUCGGGACCAUACUUUAUUAAUUUUUUUUUGUGAAAUAGUCUAGUGUCUAAAACUUCGAUAAAUUAAGUGUCUAGCGUGGGUACUUUAUAAUUUGUAGCAUAGUAAUAAGCGGACCUUCUCCAUCUAAUUUGAUUUUGUAUUCUGACCUUGUAAAGGGCAAGGGCGCAGUGACCUAUCUAACAAGUAACAACUCUAUUAUUAUGUCAUAAAAGAAGAGCCAUGUGGAUUUCCAUCAGCCAUAUGUGUGAGAGUUUAUAACAAUUCGGUGAGCUUAAUUUAAUUGGUAUGAAUAUCGCAUAUUAUAUAUAGGAGUUGAGUGGAGAUAUUGCAUUUUAUAUAUAUAUAAGUUGGGGUUCGAAUCUCGAACACAUCAUUUAUUAACUUUAAGAAUAGAAUUUCUAGUCAUUAGAUUACCUAUGAAAAAAAAAACCAACAAAAAUUAGUUGGAGACAAAAGUUAGAAGAAAUUUUUUUAUCGACUAAAAACAAAAUUUGUGAAUUUACCAUAAUACCGUAAUAAAAAUCUAUUAAUUAUUCAUUUAUUUAUUUUCUAAAAUUUUCUUUUUUUAUAUAAUUAUUUUCUAAAAUUUUCAUUUAUCUCUUAUACGACCAUAACAAAUACUUUAAGGAGUCCAUACUUUAAUUGUUCCUUGUGUAUUUUUUAAUAAAUUUUAUUAACCAAAAUGUACUUAUAGAUCGGGAAUAAUCUCUUUAAUAUUCCAGUGGAAGCCUAUGCAACUUCACGUACAGCACUUACUAUCAACAACCAUGGGCCAUUUGAGUAUUUGAUUCAAGUUAGAUGUAAAAACAGGCGCAACUAACUCAACAGAACCUAACCAAAAUAAAAGGUAGUUAGUUAAUUAGUUGGAAUUGUAUUUUUGGCUUUUUCAACAACAAAAAAUUAGUUGGAAUUGUAACAAACUACGUACAACCAAAACUUUACUCAUUUUGCUAGGAUCGGGAGAAGUGGAUCAAGAGUCAUAGUUGUUGAAUAAUGAUGUUAAGAAUUGGUGCAUAAAACAGAAAAAUGAGGUUUAUUUAUUGAUUACUCCUAUGUGCUGUCAACAAUUAUAUUAGUGGUUACUAACCUAAUUUGGAUUUUGUGUAGUGAUACUGCAUGCAGUUAGAACAUUUAGAUUGUUUGAUCAAUAUCGAACGAUUCAGAUUUCAAGAACAAAUUUUAUUAUUAUAAGUAUAAAAUUCAAGCUAAAAAUUUGGACUGUCUGAUCUUAAUCAAAAAGUUCUUAUAGUGUAGUAACUUCUCUCCGACUUAACCUUUCUCCGACCGCAUAGAAUCUGAGUCUGGUUACUAACCUAACCUCCAAGCUACAAUAAAUUAAUUAAAGAAAACAUCACUCCUAAAUGGGGCAAUUGAAGAAUUUCUUGGAAGCCAAUUAAGAAUGCAAGGAAGGAUACAAAAGGAUUUGAGCAAUGUUAAAUGAUUAAUUGAUAGUGAUUCACAAAGACUUUACCAAAAAAAAAAAUAAGAGUGAUUCACAAAGAAGACAUAUAAAAGUUUCACGAUUGUCACGGAGGUACGAGGUAGUCCAUGUGGCUUGUGUAUAAGGUAAGGCAUUCCUAAUUUCCUAUAUGUAAUUUAGUGAGGCAUAGAAAUUUCGUUUUGUUAAGGGUGAGAUAUCCAUUUGAGUGGUUUGGAUCGGAUGAUGUAUCUUCGAUUCCUACAAGUAUAGUUGAUGGUGAAAUUCUCAUUAAAAUCUAGUACAAGUAGUUGAAAACACCUUAAAUUUGAACGUAAUUAAGAUUCUAUUAAAAUCUACAGAUGGUUUAAAAUCUAUCUGCAUUUAAAAAAAAAAUAGUACCUAAUUGAGUUUCUAAAUUUAAUAUAGUAAUCAAUUAUGUACCCAAAAAAAAUACAAUUUUUCAUUAAACUGUGUUGAGUGUUAACCAUUCAAAAAGUUAUGAGUUAGAGAGUUCAGUUUCCCAAAUUCAUAUUAGAAUAACAAUUAUGUUCCUCUUUAGCAAUUAACUAGUUAUUCCGUAAAUUAUAUAUCUAAAACCUCUUUAUCUCUUCAUCAACUUGUUACAUUCUUGCAAAUAAUCUUUCAUUACCUUGUCAGAAUCUUGAUUUUUGAUCUUACUAUAUCUACCUUAAUGACUGAAAUAAUCCACGCCAUGAAAGGCACAUACAAAUCUGUCUGUUAAAGUCUGUAAACUUUGCUUCAAAAAAUAAAGUCGGUACACUUCGUAUUAUACUGGAACUAAAUAAUUUUUAAUACAAGAAAAAUGGUAGAAUACAGAAAUUUAUCGGCUAGCUCAAACCAGCAGGUCCAAAAAUACAUCAGCUUAGCUACAACUCAGAAGAAAAAAAAAGACUUACUAGACUAUUAUGACAACCUUCACAGGAACUUAAAAUUAAUUAUAGUCUCAUCAACCUCUACCAGAAGAAGAAAAAAAAAAAUGUUGCAUCGAAUUUGCACAGAAAAUCUACACAAAAUUCAUAAGCAGCAGGCUUGCUCUCCAUAAAAAAAACAGAUUCAUUCUAUACUUCCCACCAUACCAUACUGGUUAGUAACUGCUGCUACCCAUGGGUGGCAUCCCAAAAGGAGGCAUUUGGGGCAUCCCCAUUCCACCCACCGGAGGGGGAGGCGCAUAGCUUCCUCCAUAACCUGGUCCUCCCAUUCCAGGCAUCGGUGGUGCAGGUAAAGCAAGAGGCAACAAUUGAGCAUACAUGUUCUGCAACAGAAAACACAUCCAUAUCAGUACUCCUCUAAUGUCCAGUCAAGACUAAGAUGAAAGGAGUUAUCAAAGGCAAAUUACUCUGAACAUUGAUGUCAGCUAUAUUCUGCAAAGCCACAACAAAAACUAAUUUUAGGGUAGCAGAAAAUAGCCAAAGUUAAAUUACCUGUUGUGCAACUACAUCCUUUUCUUCUUUCUCUUUAGACUUCACUUCAUUUUGUGCUUCAAUUCUGUCUUUCACUAGUUCAUCCACUUUGCCGGUGUACUCACGGAUAAACUACAACAAAGAGAAUAUGUUUGAAAGAGAGAACUAGAUAAAACGCCAAUAAAUAGAUCCAUUUCAGCCCAUGGAAGAAUAAAGAAAUACAGUUGUCAAACUAGAAUUCUUUGGAUAUCCCAUACAAAUACAAUACCACAAUUACAUAAUACCAUCCAGAACCUUAAAUAGCCAAGUAUAUUAACUCAUGUUAACCUUAUUUUAGUUAUCACUUUUAUCAACUAUGAAAUUGAAACCCCAACAUUCAUCUAAAAGCAGUUCAAAGCAUACGUUUUUAUGUUUGCAACCCAUAAACUGCAGGACUUUCAAAAGACAAAAACAUCACUUUUAAAGAGCAAAGGGAUACAAGAUAGCUAGCAUAAUUCUUGGCAAAACGGUCAGGGAUGGGAGGGGUAAUUUUCAGUAAUGUAAGUUUCUUAAGCCUGAUAUCAACAGCAUUGUCAUAAAAAUAAUAUAUGUAAACUGAAAUAGUGAUACAAAUCAGCAGCAUCAAAAGAAUGCCAACCUGUAAGAGGUAUGGGAAGGCAAAGUCGAUCAUAUUGUGCAUCCAAGCUAAUUCAAGAACAACAUCUGCUCGUAUUAAAUCAUAGCAAACGAAUAGACAUGAGGCAAAGCAUUCCUUCUUUCCCUGCAUAAUCAUUGUAAAAAGAAAACUUAGAAAAUUAUAUGCACAUGAUAAAUCAGAUUAUCAUCAUUCCAUGAGGGCAGGAAACAGCUUAGACCCAAAUGCAAGAACACUAAAAGCCAAUCCUUCAGUAAAUUGUUGAUUGUAAGGCCCUAACAUGCAAUUGCAAAAGAAAAUUACGAGGUUUGAGGAAAAAAGCAAAUACCAUUAGGUUCAAAUUUUUUCUCUAAAUGAUUUAGAACUGAACAAGCCACAAGAAGCGACCACAAGUAUGCAAUUUGCAUACUGAACAUGUUAGUAAUGAUGAUUCAGAUCCUCAUGGUAAUUUAACAAAACAUGUUGGGGUACAUGCAUUUUCAAACUGAACUUUUUAGUACCUGAUCAAUGAAAUAAACAAGCAACUCCUCGGCAAGUUCACGCUCGCCAGAUUGUGAAGCUGUCUCCAUGGCAUCUUUGUAAAGGUUAUCCUUCUUUGACAAAGCAAUGGACUGCUUCCACCGUCCUGCCUUCUUGUAAAUAUAAGCAGCAACACGUCUCAUCUCAACAAGCUCAUGCUUUUCAAUCUACAUCGUACAUAAUUAAUCUAUCAGUUUUCCGUAAUUGAAACAGAAAAAAGCCACUGUCAAGCGAAAAGUGUAGGUCACCUUUUGUGCAAGGCCUAUUUGAUCAAAAUUAUCAUGCAAAUCAAUUGACUCGCGCAAUCUAUCAUAAUCUUCCUCCUCAACAUAUAUUUCGUUCAGGGCUUCAUUUACAGCAGACACGUUGUUGCUCUGAACUGCAACCAUGUAUGGCUUCACAAGCCGGAGGUGACCAGCCUACAGCACAUUACAGAUAAAAUAUCAAUAGGUGUUACAGAAGGCAAAUUGCAAACUAAUAUCUAACAAAAUUUGCUGUGAUUCUACCUUACGCAGGAUGUCAACAACCCGAGCAUGGUCCACGCGAAGUGCAAGGACAUUCAGAAUAUCAUUGAUGAGAUCAGGAUGUUCUUCCAAAUAGAAGUGAACAGCCUUGUAAGACAACUCAACAUUAGCAACUUUGACAGCAACAUCUUUGAAUUGCAUGUGAUCCCAUGCUUCAGGUGAAUGGUUCAUGAUAGUAGUUGCGGCAUUAUCAAACUCAUCAUAUUGGAUAUACAAAAAGGUCAAUUCUUUCCAAUGCUGUUGUUCAUCACAUGCUCUUAUGAGCUUUGGGAUAUUGAGGCGGGUUGAGAAUAGUUUGAUAUGCUCCAUAAGCUUCUCAGGGCGGUAUCUAGCAUAAAGAACUCCUAACUCAGUGAAGAUGCCCAUAUGAGCUCGUUCUAACCCUAAACCGCUCUCCAUCAGAGAUAUUAACUCGUUGAAGUAGCCUCUAUUUUGGUAAUAUUCACUGACCUCUUCCAAGUCAUCCACCUACAUAAUUAACAAACAGUUUGACACAGUAAGCAGUGGAAAGUAAAUAAGCUCACUACUAGUAAUAGCAAACCAACAAAAAGACCAGAUAGCAAGUGCAAAAGCCCUCCAAUGACCAGUCACUACAAAUUUACAUAUUUGCAGAAUACUCUAAGGGAGAAGAAUUUACAUUACUUUAUGAAGCCUGUUUUAUUCAAGCUCUCUAAAUAGAAAUCAGAUGGGAGCAUAAAUCAAGAAAAGGCCUCUUAAAUUUAUUUUUAAAACAUCUUUAGUUCCUUAGAAAUGCUAAAACUAACAGAUUACCUGAAUAAUAAUGUUGAGCCCACAUAUCUGGGCCAAUCGAAACUCCUCUGCAUCAACACAAGCAAAACAAACUUCUUUCCAUGUUUUGGAACUGUUAGCUUUCCUUGCUGCAUCAACAGCACCUUGGAACUGUUGUAACUUGACCAAUGUAAUAGCCAACUUGGCCCAGUUAGAUAUAAAGGAAAAUAUGAUUUUUGCAGCCUCGUAUAAUGCUUCGUCAUACAACCGGUCCCCAACAUUUUGCAAAUUAGCAACAUUUGGCAUCAGAAUGAACUCCUCAAUGUCACUAAGCCUAUCAAUCUUUGCAUAUGCAUAAAUGAGCUCGCCGUCAACCUUUGGUUCUUUUGCCUUCUGUCUUACCAUUAACAAGUAUUUGACCAAGUCAUGGUAAACAUUGGCAUCUUCAGCGGCACGGAUAACAUCCAAAAAUUGUGUAGUAUCAUCUGCUCGUAUAAAUGACUCAAUUGCAUCACUUACAAGCCCUUCCCUGAGUUGAGCCUUUGCCACCUCACUCCAAACAGCAUCUUCUUCAACUCUGAACGCAAACUCAACAGCUCUAUCGAUGCUACGAAUAUUAUCAAGCAACACAUUGACUGCUUGAACAUUCAAGUUGAACUUCUUGAAAAUUGCAAAUGCUUCCUCAUACAACUGUGCUUCUACAGCCAUUUCUCCAACUGCAGGCCCAUCGAAAUUAUCCAGUCUAUUGACAUAAUCCAUAACCCUGGAUGAAUCAGCCUUUAUCGCUGUCAAAAUGAGAAGAUUCUGCAAAUUGAAGUUCCCACUGAAUGCAGAAUUCUGAAGCACAAUCUUCUCAAGAAGUUCAAUCAAUUCAUGAGGCAGAUCGGCUGUCAUGAAAGCCUUAACAGAUGCAGAAACCUGUUCAGGGCUUGAGCUUUCAGGCAGAGCAGUAGAUACAACCUGAUCAAUAAGUUGCCUUCUAUAUUCAUUUUCAGGAUCAAGAACUUUAGCCCACAGAUCACCAUCCAUUCUCUCAACGACAUAUCUGCACCACAAGUACAAGCAUGUGAGCAAUGAAUACAAGAAAAUUGAUUUGGUCGAAGAAAGACCUACAUACACACUACAAACCUUGCUUGCAGUUUGAACAAAGAAUUUUUACUAGUGACAUUGAUAAGUUCUUCAUCACAUUGUCCUCGUCUGUAAGCUACAACUGCCAAGGUCGGGUCACGUUUCUCACAAUACUUGCCCACAACUCGAGAAUCAUAGUACGGGUUGCUUGUGAGAAAAUGUUCUGGGUUGUUGUUGCUAUCAAUAAUGAUUUUACCCAGUGCAUUGUGAACAUGUACAUCCUGGCUUCCCUCACUCACGAGAUGCUCCAAAAACUGUGUGAGCAAACGAAGCCGAUUCCUGCAUAUAUAAUAAUCAAGGGUUAAAAAAUCAUAAAUGUGAAUGCAAAUCAACAAUACAUAAGAAUAAAGAACAAAACACACCUCUUCUCACACUCCUCUACAAGGGGCUCCACUGGAAGCAAGGAACGAACAGAAAGAAUCAAACCUUUGAUGAAAUCUUCUGGGCACUCAUCAUCUAGCAGCUGUCCAACAACUAAAGGAGCAUUCCCUGGGUUCACCUACACAGAAAUAUACAAAUGCUGACGGGCAGAAAAAGUAAGGUAGAUAUCACUCAUGACAUAUACAAGGCUACUAUUAUACCUUCUGAACAUAACCUUCAAUGUAGCGAAGCAUGUUGUUUGUGUAUAGGUAGUGUGUCAGAUCUGGAACAAACCCAAAUCGAUCACAAACAUUGAUCAAAGGUCGUGCAUCUGGAAGCUUAGCCUCCAUUAGGAAGUUCUUCGUUUUUUCAGCAUCAUAGAAAUUGGAUUCUCUUGUCACACGCUCGACCUCCUUGAUUUGACCAGUCUUUGCUGCUGCCUCAAUGUACUUGAAAUGAAUUUCGGGGUCCUCGCUAUACCAUAUUAUUCAGAGAAGCAUGUAUGAUACAUCAGCAUUAAAACAUUGGAAAAUAUAUCAGGUAUAAACAGGGUCAAUUACCAACCGGAAAAAAAAAUGUACAAACCUGGAGCUCAAAUAUGAUCCAAGAAAAAAAUACAGCCCUUCAUAUGACCUAAACUGCUCAAAAAUUUUAAUGCAGCCAUCAACGCCCAAUUGUUCAGAAUAUUCUUUAGCUACCUGAACAGAUAUAAGUAGGCUUAGUUAUCAAUUAUUAGUAAGCUCCAAAUCAAAAAAGACAAUGACUCUUCUUUACCUGCACAAUAAUCUGUAAAUUGCCCCUAAGAUUGGCCAGUAAUAAGUCUUUCAUGCACUCUAAUGCCCAUUCUCGUGAGAGAGUACCAAAAAAUUCUACAAGUGACUGCAAUAACCAAAUAAUGAGCAAGUAUUAGGCUUGCGUGAUAUAUUGUAAACCCAAAAAUAGAUAAGAGCAAUAAGUCAGAAAAAAACCUGAGGCUCAAUUGCAUGUGUAUUAACAAUCACACGUUUUAUAUCUGGUAACUCUGUGUAAUGCUGCACCAAGAAAGAUGUAUUCAAUAAAGGAACUUAAGAUUUUUAAGUAGGGAAAGUACAAGAAUAAAACAUUUAGCAAGGCAUUACUUGCAAAGCUCGCACGUAAAGUCCAGCCUUUUCACAAAGCUGGGCAAUACGAGGACGGUCAUAAUGGCUGAACAUGCCAUUGGCCAAAAUAGCAUCGGCAACAUUAGGGAAAGUGACCAGAUUUAUCUCUAGCACCUGAACAACAAUCCACAAGAAAAUUGUAUCACUGCAAAGAAAGAAUUAUUAACAGAGUAAAGUGCCACAUAACAACUGGGAAACAAAGGCCCGACCUUUGUUUGAAGGAAUCCGUGUUCUGGUAAAUUUGGUUUUAAAACAUCCAGGAGAAAAGCUGUUGCCUCACGGAUCAGGUUUCUCUGAGCAGGCCAAAGAAUAACCAAGACAAAAAUGUCAAUAACGUUUAGAAGCAUAGUGUAAUAAAUCAACGAUGAUAAAGCUAACAUAUUAAAUUACUACUCGUCAUAAUUGCCUAAUCACAGUAGAUAAUAACCUGAAGAAACAGAUCAGUUAUGGUGUUGUAAUCAAUUGGGCUACCUCCCUCCAUUUGAGACAUCAUUAAUGCAAAAUUAACAGCACCCUGAAAAGCAAAAUAAAAAUGAAUAAUAAGUACAAGACUGUAAACUUAAUGAACAAAUACUGUGCAAAAAGAACAGUUACCGAUGCAUCUAUAAAGGUGGCACACAGUGGGCAAUUACAGAAAAGGUUAAACUAAAUCAAUUAAACAAUAUAAACUGUAGAGCUUUCACUCAAACCUGAGGAUCUGUUCGGAGAAUUGUUUGCAAGAGGAAGAGGUAGUCAGGUGUGUACCCAACCUAUAGCAACAAAUAAGAAAUGAAAAAUAUUCAGGACCAAAUGUUUCCAGUAAAGCAGAAAUGUAAUUCACGCAAAGAUAAUUAUUACAGGCUGAGAAAAAUGUUAACACAUAUAAUAGCAGUGAAGGAGCUUUGCAUCAAAGCCAAUAUUCUUUAAUGAGUAAACAAGCACCUGCUUAGAGUAGACCAGAAUCUUGUCAAACUCCCUCCUCUCAGCAAAAGCAGCAACAACUUUUGGAGUAGCUCUAGCUUUGAUGUAUAUUUUUAAAGCAAGAUCAUUGUCCACAGUCUACAAGGGAGCAUACCCAUGAAAAUUAAUAGAAGCUCACCAUUUCAAAAAAGCAAUUAAGAUAAGCAGCAAUGCCUCAUUAGGCAGAAAAUUAGAAAAUAGAACAUACAAACAUAAAAAUAAUUUGAAUUCUUCAAAAUGUAUAAUCCAACUAAACCUUAACAAGAUCUCCUAGCUCCUCACUGCAUUCAAGCUUGUCCUCUGCCAACCAAGUUUCCAACAGAUUUUUCUUGUUCUGGUUCACGACCAACCGAGAUAGCUCUAAUGAUUCAAAGCCAUUCAGCUUUCCCCUCGUUAAAAGCGUUCCAAAAUACUGCAGCAGUGGCGGAGUUUGACCAGCUUGCACAGGAACACUCUGCCAAAUAGAAAAUAGUCACAUUUUUAACGCUACUAUUACAAGUUGAGCAGAACCAAAAAUGCAGGAAAUUGAUGGAAAAAGCGAGAAUAUUUUCAAAAACUAAUGAAUCUACUUGAGAGGAAUGACAGUGAUUUAACAACUUAUAGAGUUCUAGUUCACAUUGACUGAUCUGUACUACCCAAGUGAAGCUGAUGACAGAAUUCUGCUAUACAGUUUAACAUCAUUACACAUGUAUCUGAAAGUUAAACGGGAUAGAUAGCUACACUACACUCAACAAAUAUAAUCUAAUUGACCAAACAAAAGAACAACACCUAAAGGCAAAUGAUAAACCUAGGAUUAAUCUCUCUGUAACUUAAGUAGAAGAGAGAGCAUGAAAAAAUCCUGAAUAUCAAGAAACCUGAAAUUUUGCAACUGUGUCAGGAGUACGAAGGAUUCCUUGAGGAGAUUCAGCAGCAAGCUCAGCUGCUUCUUUAUACUUUGUUUGGGAAAACAAUUCAUGAAAACGCUCCACAACCUGUAAUGACAACAAUUAUUGCCAUCAUGCAAGCUUUAAAUAAUAAAAGAACAAAAAUACAACAGUCGCCAUUUCUUAAGAAGCUAAUACACAACACAACACAACACAACCAAAUUAUAAAUCUCAAAUAAAAUAUGAAUGGGAAAAAAGAAGAGAUUAAAGCAUGUAGGUUAUGUUGGUCAAGUAAAAGACAAAAGCAACAAAAUUGCAGCAUACAUCAAUAAAAUAUCUAAGAUGAACUGGCUGACGGUGCAAAAUAAAUUACAACAAAUGUUGGUGAGGCAAAGAAACAUAUGUCAAACACUCGUGAAAUAAACUGAACAGACAGCCAAAAAUAUUGUACUUUUUAUUGGAAGCAUAUAACCAAAGUUCAUACAAGUUAGUGUUUAGCAGUUAUAUGCACCACAUAAGAUUAAUAGACAAUGCUUCAAAGUUCUUGGGAUCUCCCUGACAACACCCCCAGUGAAGAAACAUUAUUAUUACAAAAGUUGAGUUCUACUCAAAAUUGACAUACCAGCUUCUCAGCACCAGGAAGAUUUCCUCUUUUGGCAAGACUAACAGCUAGCUCCAAAUUGUUUAACUGCAAUAAUAACCAAUACGAAAUGUGUUAAAUGUCAAUUCAUUCCCUGCUUCACAUCAUAAAAGUGAUAAAAAAAGGUCAGAAACAUACUUGACCGCUGACAAAAUUCACAAUUGUUUGUUCAUUAACAGUGGCCAACAAAACUUGGCCUCUCCUAUUAAUGGCAUAAAAUCCUCCUGCUGAUGUGGCUUCUGAUGUCAAAAAUAUAGGAUCUGGACUAAUUCUGUUCCUAUAUACAGCAGUAGCUGUCUCCAAAUCGUAUACAAAAAGUAGGCCAAGUUUGGUAAUCACGUAAAUCAAAUUAUAUUUGUGGGAUAUCUGAAAGAAAAAAAUAAAGUACAAAUCAGAUAUCUACAGCAUUUUAUAUAAUGAACAACACUAGCAACUUCUGUACCUGCAUUGCAACUGGAAAGUCAUCAGCAAAAUCUGGGGGGAAGAAAAGAUCUGCUUGUUUCUUUGAAAAUGAUGGUUUCCCUGCCAACAAAUUUCAAAAGGUAAACUCCAGGAGUAUGAUCAAUUUAAUCACAGACGAUAUAAUGAACACACAGUUCAAUUCCACAAUACACCUCUUACAAUUUGGGCUUUAAGCCUAGAGGUGAGGAGCUUUAUAAGGACUACUUAGGCCAUGCAUCUACCUCUAGUCAAUGUGGGAUCUCAACAAACCCCCUCACACUUAAGACAGGACAUCUGUAGCAUGGGAAAAUGUGGGUGGAAUAACAUGGAUCAUGGCGCAAUAACAAAUUUGGGAUAUACUUUGAUACAAGUUAGAAUUUAAGACCGGUCUAACUCAACCCCAAAAGCUCACUGAAGAAACGGAGAUUGCCCAAGCUUUAAAAAGGACUACUUUGGUCAUAUUACUAGUUAAUGUGGGGUCUCAACAACAUGAGUCCAUCUUCAGAUGUCUGAUUUUGAUAUAUACAGCUUAGAUUUGUGAAAUUAGUUACAAAUGCAACUCAUAUAUAAUACAUGAAGUAAAUAUCUACUGCUUCAUCUACCUCCUACUUUCAGGACUACAUGUUUACCACUACAAUUGAAAAGUCAACAUGGAACCAUUAUAAAUGGAAAAAGAAAGAUGUACCAAAAAAAUAAUGGAAAAAGAAAGAAAAAAACACAUCUGUCACAUUCAAAUUUUCCAAUCAGUCAAAUACAUGGUAUAACAAGCGGAGAAGUAAUCCAUAAAGCAUGGACUAACAAAAAAAUAUUAUGCAUUUCAUCGAUCAAAUACAUGGCAAGUUAGUAACAAUUGGAAUAAUAAUCAUUGUAGCAUGGUUGAACCACAAAAAUAAUACAUUUAUUGACUGAAGUCAUUAGGAAUAAUAAGUAGCUUCCUCAGCCCUCCUACAUGGAUAUCACUACAAUUCAUCCACCCACGUAUGAAGUUUAUGAAAUACUAAUAUUCUGAGUUAAAUUACAGCAAGACAAAAGUGAUAUUGUUAUAGUCUGUAGAGACAUAAAAGAAACGGGCCAUUAUUGUCACUAAUAUGAUCACUCCACCUCUAGUUAUAGAUCCAGCAUGAUAAAUACAUAUUUAUGCAAAUAACUAAUCUAAAUGUUAGAUUUCCCAGAAAAUAUUAAAUUUGGAAUCUCAAGAUAGAACAACUAGGUUGGCAUUACAAUAAAGAUUUUUGUUGAAGCCAUAUGUCCCAUAAAAUAAAGCAUGAGAGAUAUAUGUGAAUGAGGAAAAUAUAUGCAGACCUGGCUGCGCGCCCAGUUCAAUGACAUGUAACUUGGAUACAAUUUGACCAGCAUUAAGUGUCUUUGAGGCAAAAGAAAUCAAAACAGAAGGAUUUUCAUUCCCAGGAACCUGUUCAAAAAAUACAAUUAAAAUUUGCCCAACGCAUUAGUAUUAUUCAAUUAUUAUUCAGGUAAAAUUUAUAAAUAAGUAUAUGAACACAGAACCAUAACAAAACGUACUUUGAAUUGGGCAAAUGAUGCAGCAUGAGCUUCAAGUGCCUGACUACGCUGCUGAUCCACAGAGAAAAGCUGCAUGUUCCCUUUAACCAAUUGUGGCCUCUAUAAAGCAAAAGAAGAUGAAGAAACAAACCAAAUAGAUUAGGCUAGCAAAAAUCACAAUUGAAACUUGAAAGAUCACAACUGUAUAUUUGUUAUACAAUUAUACACAAUAUAUGAUUCAGAGACAGAGGUCGAAAUAAGCAAUUAUGGUCUGAAUGAAAAAGCUGGUUAUAGCUGAAAAUUUGAAAUGUGUUUCGCAAUGAUAGCCACGACUAUGAGAGGAAGCAGAGAUAUAUACCUCGGGGGAACCAGGAGCAAUACCAAUCAAGACCAACCACUUUUCCGUAGGGUCACAUCGAUAAUUGAUUAUCUGGUUGUUUGCCAAAUUCGCUGUUCUCUCAAAUAUCUUAACAGGUUCAGAAUCACCUAAAAGUUAAGAGAUCAGGGACCAUAUAUCAGUUAAAAAUUUACAAAUGAAUUACAAGCACGUUAAAAAUGUGUAAAGCAUAAUAGCAACAAAAAAGAUGAGCAUCAGCAGAUUAUAAUCAUCAAUAUCUUACCUUCGAUUGACCAGUGGUAAACGGAGGUUUGUGUCACGAGGCCCAACAUUUUGGGGCUAAUCCACUUCCAGAAGGCUACCUGUAAAUGAAAAAUAAGGGCACUCCACAUAGAUUAGCAAUGUCAUUUUUAGGGACCUAUUAUGUUGCUGCUUAUGUAUCCUAAAACAUUAUCAUUACCUGCUCAGGCAUCUGAUGUGAUUUCAUCUUUGUUUUCAAUUCAAUGUUAAAUAUUUGUAGGUGAUCCUGUGUAGUCCCUUGCAGUUGAGCUUCAAGAGAAUGAUAUAGCUUGUAAGUGAAGAUAAUCCAAAAGCAAAAAAUAUUUUAAUUUUAAAUACAGCACCAAAAAAAGCACAUGGCCCAAAAACUGGAAACCCGGAGAUUGCUUGAUAUUUAGGAAUGGGGAGACUUGUGAUUUGUGAACACUGUAGGUAUCUAAAUACUGACUAUGUCAAACAUAUACAACGUGAAAAAUAUGUCUGAUUGCAACAUCUAAAAUGCCUAAUGUGAAAUUGGGGAUGAUUAAUACAUUAGCAAAAGUAAAAAAAAAAAAUGGAGAAAAUAUAUGUAUCAAAUACAUUGCAUUAUUAAUAAGGGCAAUAAAUUUCAUGCAUCUCCAAGAAAGUUGACUAUAAUAUAGUCAUGGGUCAACCCUCAAACCAAACCAUUACUUCUUUAUAUAAUCUACCUAAAUAAACUCCUCAUUUAACCGACUCCUUUAUCGCAUCCCCUAAAAAAAUAACACACCUUUGUUCUUUUUAUUAUAGCACUUCAAGACAUGGUCUCUAACUUCUUCGUUAUAUAGAAUCUAAAAAUAAGGAAGGCAGUUGAUUUUAAUCAAACGUCACAGCUCUGUGUCCCUGCCAAUCAGGGUACCUAUAAUAGUUGACUGACACAGUCAGGGUAGUUAAGGUAUCAGAAAUAUGGACCAGAAAAAAGAGAUCAAUGGCCAUAGUCUUACUCAAGUAUGCAUUAAUGCAUACCAGCAAGGUUUUAAAAAAAA
rnacentral:lncRNA from 1 species